rnacentral:tRNA from 1 species
AAAUCACUAGAUUCUUGCUUUGUACUGGGGAAUCAUAAUUCCAAGGUCGCAAGUUCAAAUCUUGUCGUCGCCACCA